rnacentral:rRNA from 1 species
AUUGAACGCUGGCGGCAGGCCUAACACAUGCAAGUCGAGCGAGCGGCGGACGGGUGUGUAAUGUAUGGGGACUGCCCGAAAGAGGGGGAUAACAACUGGAAACGGUGGCUAAUACCGCUUACUAUCGGAGAACCCAUAUGGGAUUAGCUAUUAGGUGGGGUAAAGGCUCACCAAGUCGACGAUCUCUAGCUGGUCUGAGAGGAUGAUUUGCCACCCUGUGACUGGUACACGCCCCGGACUCCUACGGAGGCGGCAGUGGGGAGUAUUGCACAAUGGGCGCAAGCCUGAUGCGUCCAUGCGGGGUGUAUGAGGAAGGCCUUAGGUUUGUAAAGUACGUUCAGCGAGGAGGCGUUACCCGCCGAGGAAGCACCGGCUAACUCCGUGCCAGCAGCCGCGGUAAUAC